UACGGAGGGAGCUAGCGUUGUUCGGAAUUACUGGGCGUAAAGCGUACGUAGGCGGCUUUGUAAGUAAGAGGUGAAAGCCUGGAGCUCAACUCCAGAACUGCCUUUUAGACUGCAUCGCUUGAAUCCAGGAGAGGUGAGUGGAAUUCCGAGUGUAGAGGUGAAAUUCGUAGAUAUUCGGAAGAACACCAGUGGCGAAGGUGGCUCACUGGACUGGUAUUGACGCUGAGGUACGAAAGCGUGGGGAGCAAACAGG
rnacentral:rRNA from 1 species